GCUGCCCUGUACGUCGGGGAGCAGCCAGUGCCCGGGGGCCCCCGGCCUUUGGCGAGUGCAGCAGCGGCCGCAGCCCCCUGUAAGCAGGGCGGGAGCCUGCGGGGCCGCUGCUCUCCAUGCCCAGCUCCAUUUGCCCAGCGUGCCCGCCUCGGACCCCGGCUGCAGCUUCAAGCAAGACGCCCGGAGCCCGUGGAGUUGGCAGCGACUGCUGCACGUGGCGGUGGAGGUAGCAGCAAGACCUGAGCCUGAGGCAUCGCUGUCUCCUCCUGCCCUGGAGAGCAGCAGCAGCUGGAGCUUCCAUUCCCCUCCUCCCCAGAAUAAAAUGCUUUGUCCACCUGUAGGUUACCCCCAGGGGCCCCUUUCACCCCCAGCUUUGCUGUAGCUCAUGCCAGGGCCAUUGCACUGCACAGGCACUCUUAGCUUUGCCCCAGUUGUUGGAGUUUUGUUGUUGUGAGGUUACUGUGUGCUUCUGGKUGGACUUGAGGGCCCGUGUGGCAGCUUGCAGGAUGGAGUGUGGUGGUAGGGAGAGGUGUUGUGGAGGUGUUGAGGUCCAAGCAAGCGGUGGUAGGUACUGCAGGGUAGGUGGAGGUGCUGUGGAGAUCUCAUGGUAGGAGUGCGGGUGUCCUGCAGUGCUGUAGGACGAUGCAUUUUGUCGUGGCCGUGGCUGCCGGCCGGGCUGUAGCUCUGGCUGUUGGGCGCUGGUGAUGCUGUAGUUGCCUGUUGGGCCCAGAGUAGG